GUAGACUGGAGACAGGUAGACUAGGAGAAGGUAGACUAGGAGAAGGUAUACAACGGGCAGGUAGACUAGGAGAAGGUAUACAAGGGGCAGGUAGACUGGAGGCAGGUAGACUGGAGGCAGGUAGACUGGAGGAAGGUAGACUGGAGACAGGUAGACUAGGAGAAGGUAGACUAGGAGAAGGUAUACAAGGGGCAGGUAGACUAGGGGCGGCAGGUAGACUGGAGGCAGGUAGACUAGGAGAAGGUAUACAAGGGGAAGGUAGACUAGGGGCGGCAGGUAGACUGGAGGCAGGUAGACUAGGAGAAGGUAGAAUAGGAGAAGGUAUACACGGGGCAGGUAGACUAGGAGAAGGUAUACAAGGGGCAGGUAGACUGGAGGCAGGUAGACUGGAGGCAGGUAGACUAGGGGCAGGUAAACUAGGGGCGGCAUGUAGACUAGGAGAAGGUAUAAAAGGAGAAGGUAGACUGGAGACAGGUAGACUGGAGGCAGGUAGACUGGAGGCAGGUAGACUGGAGGCAGGUAGACUAGGAGAAGGUAGACUAGGGGCAGGUAGACUAGAGGAGGCAGGUAGACUAGAGGAGGCAGGUAGACUAGGAGAAUGUAUACAAGGGGCAGGUACACUAGGAGAAUGUAUACAAGGGGCAGGUAGACUAGGGGCAGCAGGUAGACUGGAGGCAGGUAGACUGGAGGCAGGUAGACUAGGCGCAGGUAGACUAGGAGAAGGUAUACAACGGGCAGGUAGACUAGGAGAAGGUAUACAAGGGGCAGAUAGACUGGAGGCAGGUAGACUGGAGGCAGGUAGACUAGGGGCAGGUAGACUAGGGGCGGCAUGUAGACUGGGAGAAGGUAUAAAAGGGGCAGGUAGACUAGGGGCAGGUAGACUAGGGGCAGGUAAAUUAGAGGAGGCAGGUAGACUAGGGGCAUGUAGACUAGAGGAGGCAGGUAGACUAGGGACAGGUAGACUUGGGGCAGAAGAUAGACUAGGGGUUAAGAGCAUUGGGCCAGUAACCAACACAAGAGCUUGUUUCAUUGAUUUGUCCAGGUGUGUUGAACCCUCCAUUGCUAACACACAGUAAUGGCAUCUAAAUACAAACGUGUUCAUUGUUACAGAAGAUUGAGAGAGAGGCCAACACAUUUCAAAGAGCCAUACUGAAGUCCAUCCACUAUGAACUGUUUA
ensembl:lncRNA